GCUCAAUCUAGUGUCUGUUUCUUCAGCUCUCCUGGUAAUUUUGAUGACAGGCCAGGACACUCUGGAUGCCAUCCUCAGUGUGUCUAGGCUGUGACUCUGACUUUCUGGGCCAGGACCAGGGCCUUACAGUGCAGGAGAAAGACAGAGAUGUGGAAGCUUCAUGGGGAGGCUUUAAAAACAGGUGAGCCAAGAUUUGGAGGAACCACUGGGAUGCUCACUCGUGGCCAUGACAUCAGCAUUCCAGGAGGGCAGCUCCACAGAUAAGUCACUCCUGAUACUGCUGGCAGCUCACCAUCAGGAACAAUGCACUGAAAUGCAUACGGCCUUUGUAAUGCGCAUUUACAU
rnacentral:lncRNA from 1 species